CAGCCGCCGCGGUAAUACGUAGGGUGCAAGCGUUAAUCGGAAUUACUGGGCGUAAAGCGUGCGCAGGCGGUCCGCUAAGACAGAUGUGAAAUCCCCGGGCUUAACCUGGGAACUGCAUUUGUGACUGGCGGGCUAGAGUAUGGCAGAGGGGGGUAGAAUUCCACGUGUAGCAGUGAAAUGCGUAGAGAUGUGGAGGAAUACCGAUGGCGAAGGCAGCCCCCUGGGCCAAUACUGACGCUCAUGCACGAAAGCGUGGGGAGCAAACAGGAUUAGAGACCCCUGUAGUCCCUGUCUCUUAUAC
rnacentral:rRNA from 1 species